rnacentral:rRNA from 1 species
CUACGGGGGGCUGCAGCUGCGAAUCUUUUACAAUGCGCGAAAGCGUGAUAAAGCGAGCCAAAGUGCUUAACAUUUUUUGUUAAGCUUUUCUUUAGUGUAAAUAUCUAGAGGAAUAAGGACUGGGAAAGACCGGUGCCAGCCGCCGCGGUAAUACCGGCAGUUCAAGUCGCAUCCACUUUUAUUGGGUCUAAAACAUCCGUAGCUUGCUAUUUAAGUCUCUUGUGAAAUCUCACGUCUCAAGCGUGGCGAAGUGCAGGAGAUACUGAAUAGCUUUUGAGAUCGGUAGACGUAAAGAGUACGGCCAAGGUAAUGGUAAAAUAUGUUAAUCUUGGUUGGACUAACAAUUUAGCGAAGGCACUUUACGAGGACGAAUCUGACAGUGAGGGAUGAAGGCCAGGGGCGCAAAACGGAUUAGAUACCCCGGUAGUC